rnacentral:rRNA from 1 species
CCCUUAAGCUUAGUUGCCAUCAUUAAGUUGGGCACUCUAAGUUGACUGCCGGUGACAAACCGGAGGAAGGUGGGGAUGACGUCAAAUCAUCAUGCCCCUUAUGAUUUGGGCUACACACGUGCUACAAUGGACAAUACAAAGGGCAGCGAAACCGCGAGGUCAAGCAAAUCCCAUAAAGUUGUUCUCAGUUCGGAUUGUAGUCUGCAACUCGACUACAUGAAGCUGGAAUCGCUAGUAAUCGUAGAUCAGCAUGCUACGGUGAAUACGUUCCCGGGUCUUGUACACACCGCCCGUCACACCACGAGAGUUUGUAACACCCGAAGCCGGUGGAGUAACGUU